CCCGCCCCCGCCCCGUGGCCUCAGCGCGCCUCAGCCGUUCCAGAAGUUGACGAAGAAGCUGCAGAGCGAGUGCCACUGCUCCGCACAGGAAAUACACUGACUGUGAUGAAGCACAGAAACUGCCUGCCAGCACGGUAGGGGUUAAGGAGAGCCUUUGGGCCCAGCUAGCCCUGCCCAUCAUACCUGCAGCCAAUGCCAGGCCUGGAGCAGGGAGAAAAGGAGAGAGCCAGUUCAAGGCUAACUGGUGAAGAGGCAGGAGCUAACUACGGUGCUACUUGAAAGAAGGACCACUAGCCUGCUAGCCAAGGCAGCCACCAGGGAGCUCAUUCUGUCUCUCAGCCAAGGGAGACUGUGGAGGAGACCUCAGAACCUCCAGCAAUUGAGAACAGGCACAUCAUGAACAACAGUGCUACAAGCUUCCUGUAUAUCAUCCCAGUGAUGUACCUCGAACCUUACCAGGAGAGAGAUGAGAAGGUACAAUCAUCCAGACUAUUUAGUCCUAUCUUAUCUGCUGAGACUGCUAACAAGAUGAUGGCUCUAAGGUUGGUUUUUUUAUCAUGUAGGCAGACACCUGUCUCCUGGGAUGUACACUACUGAGAGUAAAGGACAAUUUUUUUCCCCUAAACUACAAUUGUGAAAGAUGCAUGUAUAGCAGAAUAAAACCUGUAUGUUUUCCCCAAAGGAAGGUGACUGUGCUGGCAAUAGAAUGUUGUAUUUCAUUUAUUGUUUGUAUUGUGGCUGCAACACAGGAGUCUAAACAGGGAUUAGUGGCCUAUUAUAUUAGCCAGUGUACAAGCAAAGACAGUCCUGCCCUAGAAGCUCACAGUCUAGGAUGACUAUUUCGUGCAAGAGCAUCCAUAAUUUGCAAAUA